rnacentral:rRNA from 1 species
AAUAGAUACCCGGGUAGUCCAUGCCGUAAAACGAUGUCUACUAGCCGUUGGGGCCUUUGAGGCUUUAGUGGCGCAGCUAACGCGAUAAGUAGACCGCCUGGGGAGUACGGUCGCAAGACUAAAACUCAAAUGAAUUGACGGGGGCCCGCACAAGCGGUGGAGCAUGUGGUUUAAUUCGAUGCAACGCGAAGAACCUUACCUGGUCUUGACAUAGUAAGAACUUUCCAGAGAUGGAUUGGUGCCUUCGGGAACUUACAUACAGGUGCUGCAUGGCUGUCGUCAGCUCGUGUCGUGAGAUGUUGGGUUAAGUCCCGCAACGAGCGCAACCCUUUUCCUUAUUUGCCAGCGGGUUAAGCCGGGAACUUUAAGGAUACUGCCAGUGACAAACUGGAGGAAGGCGGGGACGACGUCAAGGUCAUCAUGGCCCUUACGACCAGGGCUACACACGUGCUACAAUGGUCGGUACAAAAGGUUGCUACCUAGCGAUAGGAUGCUAAUCUCAAAAAGCCGAUCGUAGUCCGGAUUGGAGUCUGCAACUCGACUCC